UAUGGCUCAGGAUGAACGCUGGCGGCGUGCCUAAUACAUGCAAGUCGAACGAGAGUGCUUGCACUCUAGUGGCGAACGGGUGAGUAACACGUAGGUAACCUGCCUUACAGUUGGGAUACCCUGGCGAAAGCUAGGCUAAUACCGAAUAAUUGGAUUGGAGGCAUCUCCGAUCUCUAAAAGGGGCCUUUAAAGCCUCGCUGAAUGAUGGACCUGCGGCGCAUUAGCUAGUUGGUGAGAUAACAGCCCACCAAGGCGAGGAUGCGUAGCCGACCUGAGAGGGUGAACGGCCACACUGGAACUGAGACACGGUCCAGACUCCUACGGGAGGCAGCAGUAGGGAGUUUUCGGCAAUGGGGGCAACCCUGACCGAGCAACGCCGCGUGAAUGAUGAAAGGUCUUCGGAUUGUAAAGUUCUGUUAUAAGGGAAAAAUGAUAUGGUGAGGAAAUGCUCCAUAUUUGAUGGUACCUUAUUAGAAAGCCACGGCUAACUACGUGCCAGCAGCAGC
rnacentral:rRNA from 1 species